rnacentral:rRNA from 1 species
ACUCCUACGGGAGGCAGCAGUGGGGAAUAUUGGGCAAUGGAGGAAACUCUGACCCAGCGACGCCGCGUGAGGGAUGAAGGCCUUCGGGUUGUAAACCUCUUUCAGUAGGGAAGAAGCGAAAGUGACGGUACCUACAGAAGAAGCACCGGCUAACUAUGUGCCAGCAGCCGCGGUAAUA